CCUCCUCCACCACCACCUCGCUGUUUCCCCUUCUUCACCUUCAAUUCCACCCUCCCCCCCUCCCUACUCUGUCUCUCCACUCUCGCUUGACCCCUCUCGCUCUUUCACUCUCUCUCUGUUAGCUCUUCGCUCUCUCUCUUGCUCUGUGUGUGUGUGUGGAUUCUAUGCUCAUUUCGGCACUACCCACCUCGGCAUUGCCUUACUUUUCCUUUUCUCUCUCUCUCGAGUCUGUCGUCAUGUGCAGCGGUUUUCGGACCUUGGGGGGUGAAGAAGGGGUUGGUCUGGUGUCGUUGGGCGCCUGCGAUUCGAGUGGAUUGCGAAUUUGGAUCGUGUGAGUGGUGGGUUUGUGAAUUUGGGUAGUUUAAGGAGAGGAGUGGGAUCUGGGCAGACUUGUGAGGUUUUGCGAAAGGUGCGAGCCGUGAUGGGUGCCGCUUGUGAAGGUGGAGCGGUUCUGUCGCGGGUUGCGUAGUUGGCUGGAGGAGCUGGGGAGCUUAUCCGAGCGAAUGCGAGCUAAGCGUCAGUCAUGCAGUUCUGUGGUAGUUUCUGGGAGACAGCAUUAUAAUUCCGCAUUAUUUUACGCGUAGUAUACGUCACACAAUUACCAGGGCGAUGUUCAAGCUCAUGAUUGUAAACACGGAUUAUCUUAAAUUAUUUCUGGGUCUCGAAGGACAACCGCUGAGUCUGCUGUCGGCGGUAAAGUUAACAUAAUUCCGACAUUCCAUCGUUUCCUUUUUCAGAUUGGGAAGUGAUGAAACACGCUACAUAGUAGUGUUGGAGAAAAGGUGCAAAUAGAAGUGACAUAGUAGAGCAUUGAGCUUUGAAAUCGAUCGCAUCAUGAGCACCACUAAUUCAGAGUCCGAGGUCCAGAGGUCGUAUGAGGACGACGAGAGGAAGGAAAAUGGAUACUCAUACGAGGAGAAUGGGAACAAGUCCGAGAAUGGAACUCCAGCAUCCUGGCGUGCAUCAGGCAAACCUGGAAAAUCCUUGCAGAACCUUCUCACGCUCUCUUUUCCUAUUUCAAGAGUACGCAGACUUGCGAAGAGCGAGGGUGACAUCCAGUGGGUGGGUGUAGAAGCUGGCUUUCUCAUUGCCAAAGCCACUGAGCUUUUCUUGGAGAAGCUUGUUGAAGAUGCGUUCGGUAGGAUGCGAGACAACCGGCAGGCAUCAAUUCUUUAUCCCCAUUUAUCAUCUCAUAUUGCAAGCUCGGAGAGACUGGAAUUUCUUUCAGGUCAGCUUUUUGGGUUUCUGGGGUUUCCUACUCUUCACUGUCCAAGUUUCAAUCGUCGUCGCAUGAACAUGUAGUGUCCUACCGGAAGCCAUGGCCCAAUUAGUCAAUACCUUCACUUCUACAUUUUCAGGCAAUCCUUGGAAAAAUCAAUUGGCGGGACAUAUCCGUGAUAUUGUGCCCGUGAGGAUUCCAGCUGCAACUGCUCUUCAAAAUGCUUCAAUGGCGGACAAGUAGGUCAAUCAAUACGUGGCAGUUAUGUGAUCGGUAUGGAAGUUAAGUUGUAGGGAAAUCAUGUAUCAGUGGAGAUACAUGUGGAUUGUGAACCAAGGCUUUACUUGGACGGUCAUGGGUUGUGAAGGGCUAGAAAACAAAGUCUUGAGCGGAGGGCACGUGGAGGUUAGCGUCUGUAUUCUUUUGAUUUUAGCAGGUCAUUAGGAUUAGCUUCAAUGCAAGAAAGUUUGAUUUGGUAAGCAUUCCUAUUUAACUUGGCAGUUUAUGACUUAGGGGCGUCUCAUCUAAAGUAGAAAAUUCCAAUUUGAGGUCUUUGUGGAUAGUUUUGUACACGUUCUUUUAAGAAAGAAUUCGUGCAUUUCAAGCCGCAUUCAUGCUUUUUUCGAUCCA